GACGAACGCUGGCGGCGUGCCUAAUACAUGCAAGUAGAACGCAGUUGAGAACGGGUGAGUAACGCGUAGGAAACUGCCGUAACGUGGGGGACAACUAGUGGAAACGAUAGCUAAAACCGCCUAUUUCGAGAUGGACCUGCGUGGUAUUAGCUAGUUGGUGAGGUAAAGGCUCACCAAGGCGACGAUACAUACCCGACCUGAUAGGGUGAUCGGCCCACCUUGGACUUGGAACCCGCCCCGUCUCCUUCCGGAUGCAGCCGUUGGGAAUUGUCGGGAAUGGGCGGAAAGCUUACCGGGCCACGCCGCGGGAGUUAAGGAGGGUUUCGGAUCGUUAAGCUCUGUUGUUAGGGGAGCGGUAACUAACCAGAAAGGGACGGCUAACUACGUGCCAGCAGCCGCGGUAAUUC
rnacentral:rRNA from 1 species